rnacentral:rRNA from 1 species
GACGAACGCUGGCGGCGUGCUUAACACAUGCAAGUCGAACGGAAAGGCCUGCUUUCCCUUGUGGAUUGCGGGUACUCGAGUGGCGAACGGGUGAGUAACACGUGAGUGAUCUGCCCCCAACUUGGGUAUAAGCCUGGGAAACUGGGUCUAAUUCCCGAUAGGACUGCAGGGUGGUGCCUGUGGUGGAAAACGAUUUUCUAGUGGUUGGGGAUGAGCUCGCGGCCUAUUAGCUUGUUGGUGGGGUAAUGGCCUACCAAGGCGGCAACGGGUAGCCGGCCUGAGAGGGUGGACGGCCACAUUGGGACUGAGAUACGGCCCAGACUCCUACGGGAGGCAGCAGUGGGGAAUAUUGCACAAUGGGCGGAAGCCUGAUGCAGCGACGCCGCGUGGGGGAUGACGGCCUUCGGGUUGUAAACUCCUUUCGACCGCGAGGAAGCCACCUGGUUGGAAGGGUGGUGACGGUAGUGGUAGAAGAAGCACCGGCUAACUACGUG